CCCCGUUAAGUACUGCAUUGCGGUGUCCCUCAGGACUCAUUUAGUUUAAAACUCGGGUUAAAACACGACGAACCUCUUCAAAGGAAGACGUUUAAUAAUAAGGGCGUCAGGCUCUUGUUUAACCCAAAAACACGGAACCAGUUUAUAAAUGAGCUUUAUGAGGUUCAAGUGCACAGUGACCUCGACAAGCCUUGACGAACAGCAUCCAAAGAGGCUAAGAUACUGUUGUAAAUUCAUAGACUGGACUCGAGAAUUCCCAGUCCUAUCCAAAAGCAACAAAUGGACUGUGUGGUUCACGUGGAAUUGGUAUCUCUCACUGUUACUGAUACAGCCUCAGCAAGCAACACCACCUCCUCCGCCGCUGCCUGGCGGCCCUCGCUCCCGCC
rnacentral:misc_RNA from 1 species